rnacentral:rRNA from 1 species
UACAGAGGUCUCAAGCGUUGUUCGGAUUCAUUGGGCGUAAAGGGUGCGUAGGCGGCGCGGUAAGUCGGGGUGUGAAAUCUCGGGGCUUAACUCCGAAACUGCAUUCGAUACUGCCGUGCUUGAGGACUGGAGAGGAGACUGGAAUUUACGGUGUAGCGGUGAAAUGCGUAGAUAUCGUAAGGAAGACCAGUGGCGAAGGCGGGUCUCUGGACAGUUCCUGACGCUGAGGCACGAAGGCCAGGGGAGCAAACGGG